GAGGUAAAGAAUAAAGUUACAUGAUUUGUGUUUUUGCUAUCGGUACUGUAUGAUCACGUGCGAUACAAUAUUAAAAGAAUCACGUGCCUGGAUGUGACACGAUUGCGACACAGUGUGUAUGCAGGCUCGCCUGCUCACGUGAGCGAUCAAGGGUUUCUUGACCAGCCAUUUGAUUCGCAGACUCCAACAAGCGAAAACAUCCGGCAACAUUUUAUUCAUGUGGUUUAUCUUCUACUCAUGCAUUUAAUGCCCAUCAACACUGCUCUCCUAAACUGAGGAUCGUCUUCGGAGAUUGAAUCGCAUGAAUGGUUUCCCCAAAAGGGUUAACAUCUGCUAGCCUCUACUGAAAAGGGUGCGGUUUCAAGACAUAAUUUACAGCAGUUUUUGAACGCGGACCUGCAGACAUACCGGCAUGUCUUUCCAGUCGGCUGAGGCUGCUCCCGAUGGCCAGAGCACAGCUGAUGCUCAGAACGAAGCCCCGACUGGAUCCUUUAUCUACUGGGGUCAAGACCCUCGACCUCUCUCCUAUGUUCUGGAGGGUUGGCCAGUUCCUGCAAAGUGUCCUCCAAAGAGUUGGGAGGAUCAUGCUGCCGCUCUCCGCAAACUACCGCUUCGGGAUGAUGACAUCUUUGUGUUGGCCUUUCCUAAGGCAGGAACUCACUGGCUCUGGGAGGUGAUCUCCAUGUUGAAGCAGGGGAAGGCUGAGUAUGAUGUUCGUCCCAAGGAGCACUUCAUGGUCGAGUCGAUCGAGCUGGACAAAUUGGACUCCGUGCCGUCCCCACGACUCCUCAACUCACACCUGCCUGUCUUCAUGCUGCCAUGGCAAGAGAUGAAGGAGCGAAGGACAAAGGUGGUGCACGUGUACCGCAACCCCAAAGACACGUGCGUGUCCUACUACUACCACCUCAAGAGCAACGAGGACCACGUGGUGCAUGACAUGGAGUUCAAUGACUUCUUCGACCUGUUCUUCGAAGGCGACUCUCAUCCAAGCCUCUAUUUCAAGCACCUGAAACAGGCUUUGACAUUUACAUCAGAGAAUGAAGAUGUGCCUUUCUUGUCGCUAUCUUUCGAAGACAUGAAAAAGAAACCCAUUGAAAAUGUGAAGAAGCUGGCGAUUUUCUUGGAGCUGAAUGUCAGCGACUCUCUGUGUGAAGAGAUCGCCGACGCCUGCAGUUUUAACAACUUGAAGAAGGGGGCAGAACUCAAAGUGCCUGUGCGUCCUCCAGAUAAAGAUGACGAUGGAGAGAAGAAGAUGAAUUACUCGAGGUUUUAUCGGAAAGGAGAGAUAGGGGACUGGAAGAACUAUUUUACUGUCGCCAUGAGUGAAAAGACAGACGCCAUCAUUAAGGAGCGGAUGGAAGGACUUCCCUAUGAUCUUCAGUACUCCUGAAUUAUGGCAGGGCAUAUUUAUACUAAUUGCCUAUGUAAUUUUAAGCUUUGAUGCUCUUGUAAAUUUUUUUUAUGAAUGUUAAGUGCUAUAAUUUACUGUGUGUAGUCAGAAAAUAAACAUUUGAUGCAUCUGAUUGCUAAAUUAAAUUAAUACUUCAUAUCAAUCAUACAUAUAUCAAAGUCUUUUUGACUUAAUGGCUUUGUUAAUGACAAAUGCUUUAUUUUCACAAACUGGAGCUGGACAAUAGUAAAUACUAUAACUGAGCAUAUAUAGAGAGAUAUGUAGCUAGAUGACAAAUGUUUAGGUUGCCCAAGCAGGAAUCAACAAAUGAAAUUUGAUACUUGGAACUUUUAAGUUGUGAUAACAUGUCGGGUUAAGAGAUCCCUUGAGCGUCCAUUAGGUAAACAAAAAGACAAAUAUAGUGUAGGUUAAAAUUUAUACAAUGAAUCAAUGAACUUAAAUAUCGUUCACGUUCAGUCGGGAAGUGAACGUAGCCUGAGCCAAGCGAAUACAUUUGGCGGGCGUUAGAAACUGCCAUGGAGCAGUGGUGGUGUUGGUGUUGGUGGUCGUAGUCGUGGUAAAUUAUGUCCAAAACACCCUUUAUGUGUUUUUGACCAAUCAGAGUUAUUUAUACCUAAUUAACAUUAACCCAGUCCUUAUCUGCGACCAAUGAAGAAGAAGAAGAAAAAGAAGAAGAAUGAUGAAAAGAAGAAGAAGAAGAAGAAGCAGAAGAAGAUAAUUUUACUCCGGGUAAUGGAUGGGUCGCUGAAGGCGUGAAUAAUUUUGAAUACGAUGCAAGGAGAAUUGCUUGAGGACCUCGUGGCGGAUGUCAAGUUGUGUGUGGCACAUUGUGUAAGGUUUCGCUAAUAUGUCUAAGAUCCUACAUAUGUGUUUGUCAAGCCACUGUCACCUGGAAAUCUGUAAAUUGAGAAGUUCAGAAUAAAUGCCUCAAACAUUCAAGUGUUUAUUUCUGU
rnacentral:misc_RNA from 1 species